CUCAUAUCAAAUGUUUGGUUUAAACCAGGGAAGGAAACUGUACUAAAAUACUACACUAACGUUACUAUUACUGGACUUUAAACGUUUUUUAGUCGUCAAACACAGGUGUUAUUAUUAAUAUCAUUAAUGUGGACCGCGUGGUAUUCAGGAUGAGGUGAGGACUGAGAUGAAGAAGAAGAGCCUCCUCAUCCUCAUUUACCAACACCUGUUGGCGCAAGGGUACAUGGCUGCAGCAGUGGCCUUGGACCAGGAGACUAACGGAGGUGUGAGGAGGUUCGAGGUUUGUGAUAACAUCGAUCUGGAGAUGGUGCUGAUGGAGUACGAGAGUUAUCACUACGUCAAGUUCCAGAGGUAUCCCAAACUUAUCAGGAGAACAGCAGAACCAGGUGAAAACAGACGUGCAAGAAGUGUUGGAGUAAAGAGAAGUUCCUGUUCAGCUGUGAAGCCUCUUCCCAAAAUCAUCCCGUCCCCGAGGCCACAGUCCGGAAGCGGAUCCAAGAGACCAGCUGCCAGUUCACAGACAAAUGAGAUCGGCUCUUCUGUCCCUCCGGAGUCGUCAGAGUUUGGUCUCAACGUUUCCUCCAUCAGAAAUGGACCAGCUGGGGAGGCAGCCAUGAACAGAAAGGGCCAGAUGACUGACGGCAAAGGAGCUGGCAGUGACUCCGACCACAUGGAAAGGCUGCUGAAGCCCCUCAGUGGCUUUUCUGGAAUGAGCGGUGAGAUGAGACAACUGGCUGCAAUUAUCAGCAGGGACAUCUAUUUGCACAGCCCCAAUGUGCGGUGGGAGGACAUCAUCGGCCUGGAGGACGCAAAGCGAUUAGUCAAAGAGGCCGUCGUCUAUCCCAUUAAGUACCCCCAGCUGUUCACAGGCAUCCUGUCUCCGUGGAAGGGCUUGCUGCUUUAUGGCCCUCCAGGUACAGGUAAGACCCUGCUGGCCAAGGCCGUGGCUACAGAGUGUAAGACGACCUUCUUCAACAUCUCAGCCUCCAGCAUCGUCAGCAAAUGGAGAGGAGACUCUGAGAAACUGGUCAGGGUUCUAUUUGAGCUGGCCAGGUACCACGCCCCAUCCACCAUCUUCCUGGAUGAGCUGGAGUCGGUGAUGAGCCAGAGAGGAACCAGCAUGGGGGGAGAGCAUGAGGGGAGUCGCAGGAUGAAGACUGAGCUGCUGGUUCAGAUGGACGGACUGGCGAGAUCAGAGGACCUGGUGUUUGUACUGGCUGCCUCCAACCUGCCUUGGGAACUGGACCAUGCCAUGCUGAGGAGGUUAGAGAAGAGGAUUCUAGUCAGUCUUCCCACUUCGCCAGCUCGCCAGGCCAUGAUCUCUCACUGGCUGCCCCCUCUUAACUCCACAGGAGGGGUGGAGCUACGAACUGAGCUGGACUAUGAAACGCUGGCGAAGGAGAUGGAGGGUUACUCUGGCUCUGAUAUAACACUGGUGUGUAAGGAGGCUGCCAUGAGACCAGUCCGCAAGAUCUUUGAUGCUCUGGAGUCACAUCAGGACGGAGACGAUGACAUGCCUGCCAUCCAGCUGGAAACUGUGACCACAGCUGACUUCCUGGAAGUCCUCGCGCACACCAAACCCUCGGCACGAAACCUGAUGGACAGAUACACAGCCUGGGAGAGAGAGUACGAGUCUGUCUGACACAAAGAUGACCGGAGAGAAGGUGGAAUAUCAUCAACCACAAAAACAACAACAAUCACCACUGGAUGGAUAAGUAUUCUGUAGCUAAUGAGUUCUGACUAAAAUUCCCAAAAUUCCUGUGUUCUGAGCCCCGCCCACAUCAUCUCUGGCGUCCUGUGGGAAAACAGCAACGAGACACAGACUGAAGUUUUCUACCGGCUGAUUAAUAUUUGUAUCAAACAGUGAACAUUGAGUUAUGUUCUAAAACAACUGUCAGUAAACACUGUGUGAAGAUCUCAGGUUUGAGGCCUGUUCAUAGAAAUGAGCCUAUUCUUGCAAGUCUCUCUGCUAAAUGUUGAAAAUGUACUUAAUAAACGUGCUG